rnacentral:rRNA from 1 species
GGACUACCGGGGUAUCUAAUCCGGUUCGCUCCCCACGCUUUCGCACCUCAGUGUCGGUCGUGGCCCAGCAGGCCGCCUUCGCCACUGGUAUUCCUCCCGAUCUCUACGCAUUUCACCGCUCCACCGGGAAUUCUACCUGCCUCUGCCAGACCCUAGUCCCCCAGUCUUCGACGACCCCUCCAAGUUGAGCCUGGAGAUUUCACGCCGAACUUGACGGACCACCUACGCGCGCUUUACGCCCAGUAAUUCCGGACAACGCUCGCCCCCUACGUAUUACCGCGGCUGCUGGCAC